AAUGGGACGAUUGAAACACUUUACGAAAAAAUUGGAACGAUACAGAGAAGAUUAGCAUGACUCCUGCGAAAGGAUGACACGCAAAAUCUUGAAGCGUUUCUCUAUUUU